GCCGGGGUGGCGGAAUGGCAGACGCAGUAGACUCAAAAUCUACCGGGGGAAACCCCGUGGGGGUUCAAGUCCCUUCCCCGGCA
rnacentral:tRNA from 1 species